GAUGAACGCUGGCGGCGUGCCUAAUACAUGCAAGUCGAACGGAGAGUGUUAGCUUUGGUUGACAACUCUUAGUGGCGAACGGGUGAGUAACGCGUUGGUGACCUGCCCCGAAGAGGGGGAUAACAGCUCGAAAGGGCUGCUAAUACCCCAUGUGGUGCUAGAGGUUAGAGGCUCUAGCAAGAAAGGAGCAAUCCGCUUCGGGAGGGGCCUGCGUCCCAUCAGCUAGUAGGUAGGGUAAAGGCCUACCAAGGCGAAGACGGGUAGGGGGCCUGAGAGGGUGACCCCCCACAAUGGAACUGAAACACGGUCCAUACACCUACGGGUGGCAGCAGUAGGGAAUAUUGCACAAUGGGCGAAAGCCUGAUGCAGCAACGCCGCGUGUGCGAUGAAGGCCUUCGGGUUGUAAAGCACUUUUCGGGGAGAUGAGGAAGGACAGUAUCCCCGGAAUAAGGCUCGGCUAACUACGUGCCAGCAGCCGCGGUAAAACGUAGGAGCCAAGCGUUAUCCGAAUUUACUGGGCGUAAAGCGCGUGUAGGCGGCAUGGUAAGUUGGAUGUGAAAGCUCCUGGCUCAACUGGGAGAGGACGUUCAAAACUGCCAAGCUAGAGGGCGAGAGAGGGAGGUGGAAUUCCCGGUGUAGUGGUGAAAUGCGUAGAUAUCGGGAGGAACACCAGUGGCGAAGGCGGCCUCCUGGGUCGCACCUGACGCUCAGACGCGAAAGCUAGGGUAGCGAACGGGAUUAGAAACCCCGGUAGUCCUAGCCGUAAACGAUGUAGACUUGGUGUUGGUGGUGUAAGAGCCAUCGGUGCCGCAGCAAACGCGAUAAGUCUACCGCCUGGGGACUACGACCGCAAGGUUAAAACUCAAAGGAAUUGACGG
rnacentral:rRNA from 1 species